UGAGCAAACCUAAUUUGAGAGAGAGAAGAUAGAGGGUUUGAAGAGAGACUGGGGUUGAAGGGGAAGGGUUUCAAUCGGCGGCGAGACUGGUUCAGCUUUCGUUUCUCUCAUAAAAGGAGUCUACCUAAUAGCCUUGGACUCUUCGUUUCUCUCAUACUCCUCACCUCUCCCACAAAAUCCCAUUUUUUUCUCAGCUUUCUGGAUUUUGAGCGUACCCAGAAAUGGAGAGUGGUUUGGAUCCCCAGAUGAGCAACACCUCUCAUGGGUCGGAAGAUGAGUCUUUGAUGGAGAUGGGAUCUGGAAGUUUUGGGUGCUCACAUUACAGAAGGAGAUGCAAGAUCAGAGCACCUUGUUGUGAUGAGAUAUUUGAUUGCAGGCAUUACCAUAAUGAAUCCAAGGU